rnacentral:rRNA from 1 species
ACACAUGCAAGCCGAGCGGUAUGAUUCUUUCGGGAAUCAGAGAGCGGCGUACGGGUGCGGAACACGUGUGCAACCUGCCUUUAUCUGGGGGAUAGCCUUUCGAAAGGAAGAUUAAUACCCCAUAAUAUAUUGAGUGGCAUCACUUAAUAUUGAAAACUCCGGUGGAUAGAGAUGGGCACGCGCAAGAUUAGAUAGUUGGUGGGGUAACGGCCUACCAAGUCGAUGAUCUUUAGGGGGCCUGAGAGGGUGAUCCCCCACACUGGUACUGAGACACGGACCAGACUCCUACAAGAGGCAGCAGUGAGGAAUAUUGGACAAUGGGUGCAAGCCUGAUCCAGCCAUCCCGCGUGAAGGACGACGGCCCUAUGGGUUGUAAACUUCUUUUGUACAGGGAUAAACCUAGAUACGUGUAUCUAGCUGAAGGUACUGUACGAAUAAGCACCGGCUAACUCCGUGCCAGCAGCCGCGGUAAUACGGAGGGUGCAAGCGUUAUCCGGAUUUAUUGGGUUUAAAGGGUCCGUAGGCGGAUCAGUAAGUCAGUGGUGAAAUCUCAUAGCUUAACUAUGAAACUGCCAUUGAUACUGCUGGUCUUGAGUAAGGUAGAAGUAGCUGGAAUAAGUAGUGUAGCGGUGAAAUGCAUAGAUAUUACUUAGAACACCAAUUGCGAAGGCAGGUUACUAUGUCUUAACUGACGCUGAUGGACGAAAGCGUGGGGAGCGAACAGGAUUAGAUACCCUGGUAGUCCACGCUGUUUUCGAUGCUAACUCGUUUUUGGGUUUUCGGAUUCAGAGACUAAGCGAAAGUGAUAAGUUAGCCACCUGGGGGAGUACGAACGCAAGUUUGAAACUCAAAGGAAUUGACGGGGGCCCGCACAAGCGGUGGAUUAUGUGGUUUAAUUCGAUGAUACGCGAGGAACCUUACCAAGGCUUAAAUGGGAAUUGAUCGGUUUAGAAAUAGACCUUCCUUCGGGCAAUUUUCAAGGUGCUGCAUGGUUGUCGUCAGCUCGUGCCGUGAGGUGUUAGGUUAAGUCCUGCAACGAGCGCAACCCCUGUCACUAGUUGCCAUCAUUAAGUUGGGGACUCUAGUGAGACUGCCUACGCAAGUAGAGAGGAAGGUGGGGAUGACGUCAAAUCAUCACGGCCCUUACGCCUUGGGCCACACACGUAAUACAAUGGCCGGUACAGAGGGCAGCUACACAGCGAUGUGAUGCAAAUCUCGAAAGCCGGUCUCAGUUCGGAUUGGAGUCUGCAACUCGACUCUAUGAAGCUGGAAUCGCUAGUAAUCGCGCAUCAGCCAUGGCGCGGUGAAUACGUUCCCGGGCCUUGUACACACCGCCCGUCAAGCCAUGGAAGUCUGGGGUACCUGAAGUCGGUGACCGUAAAAGGAGCUGCCUAGGGUAAGAC